rnacentral:pre_miRNA from 1 species
CAUGCACCGGUGGGGUCCCUCGGCUUGGCCUGCACCCUCUCGCAAUCCAGGACCCCUAGAGGGAUGUUGGAGAGCCGGUUUCAGCCCGAUCCUGCAGGCCAGGCCGAGGGACCCCACUGGUGCACG